CGGUGAAGGUAGUUUUCCAUCGCAGCUCUGCCCUAAACUCGAGGCAGGUAUCUUCUUCCUUGUGUCGUCCUAGCUCUGCUCGAGAUAGAAUUUCAGAUUUGUUGAUGUUUAUGGAUAACACUUGAUGAAAUUUAGACUCCUUUUGAGGAAAACCACAUUAAGCACAAGGUUGUUGCAAGAUUGGGCAAACUACCCCAAACAUUGCAGAUUUUGAAGAUUGAAGUUACAAGUCAAGAUGCAAGUUUAGAAGAUGCACAAACUCAUUAUUAUUUUGCUAUGAAUGUUAUGGAAUACUUGAUAUUAUAGUCUAGCUAAGAUGUUAGCUAAG